rnacentral:lncRNA from 1 species
GGCAGACGUUGGAAUGAACACCAGACGGGGAGGUCUGUGUGAAUUUUUGCCACCAUCUCCUUCCCAUCCUAGUUGUCCCAAAUGAGAGGCCUGUGGGUCUGCCAGAGGAGAGUUCUGUAUGGUACAAAGGCUUGCGGGAAUCAUUCCCUGUCUUUCUACAAAGAUGCUGGUCACAGCCCAUCCCUGCCAAAGGCUGUCCCUGGGACACAUAUGAUGGUUUCCAGUACUAUCCUUGGGUUUGAUGAUUCCCUGGGGGGACUCUCAGGAUCUAGCAAGGCUGUUGUCCUCACAGAUAUGGUUUGUACAGAAAAAGAAUACAGAUUAAUAGGAGGAACGAGUCAGCAUCCUGACUGGCGACCCCUAGUGGCCCACGCAUGCACUACAGCCACUUCUGCAAUCUUUGAAAUCCGCCUAAUGCCUGGGGAUGAAUGACAUCCAGAACAACUGAUCGGAUGGUACCAGCUACAGGGAACGAGAUGCCCUGGACCAAUGGGGCACCGGUGGAGCGUAUAAAAACACAUCCCGAUCCCGCAAUAAACGUGUCAGCUUCCGCUUCUC